rnacentral:rRNA from 1 species
GGAUUAGAUACCCUGGUAGUCCACGCCGUAAACGAUGGGCACUAGGUGUUGGUUUUACCUUCGGGUGAAAUCGGUGCCGCAGCUAACGCAUUAAGUGCCCCACCUGGGAAGUACGCCCGCAAGGGUGAAACUCAAAGGAAUUGACGGGGGCCCGCACAAGCGGUGGAGCAUGUGGUUUAAUUCGACAACGCGCAGAACCUUACCGGGGCUUAAACUGCUAGGUAAACCCUAUGAAAGUAGGACUGAUCUUCGGAUCGACCUAGUAGAGGUGCUGCAUGGCUGUCGUCAGCUCGUGCCG